GUGGGCGUAGCUUAGCGGCUAAAGCGUCGCUCUGUGGCAGCGAAGAUCGCGGGUUCAAAUCCCGUCGCUCACCCCA
rnacentral:tRNA from 1 species